AGCUAAUACUUGCUUUAGCACUCUUGAUUUAUUUCUUGAGUGUGUACUUGUUAAGCCUUAUAAGAAAAGAGUUAUUAACUUAAGGAAUUAUAACAAAGAAGUAACACGUAAUGGAUCAGUCCAUUUUUAGUGUGUAUCAAUCGAGUUUCUGACCUAUCAGCUUUUGAUGUUAGGGUAUUGGCCUAACAUGGCUAUGACGGGUAACGGGGAAUUAGAGUUCGAUUCCGGAGGGGGAGCCUGAGAAAUAGCUACCACAUCUAAGGAAGGCAGCAGGCGCGUAAAUUACCCAAUUCUAAAGAAGAGAGGUAGUGACAAGAAAUAACAAUACAAGGCCAAUCUGGCUUUGUAAUUGGAAUGAUGGGAAUUUAAAACCUUCCCAAAAUUCAAUUGGAGGGCAAGUCUGGUGCCAGCAGCCGCGGUAAUUCCAGCUCCAAUAGCGUAUAUUAAAAUUGUUGCAGUUAAAACGCUCGUAGUUGAAUUUCAAAGAAUCGAUAUUUUAAGUAACGCUUCUAGCUACAAAUCCACAUAACUGAUGCCUCCGCGUAUCGACUUUGUGCGCAUUUUAGCUAUUAUGUGUUCUUUUAAUUAAAAUGAUUCUUUUUAAGAUUCAUCUAUUAAAAAUUAGCUUCGGCAUAAUUUUUUUUGAUGAUCUUGUUACUUUGAGUAAAUUAGAGUGUUCAAAGCAAACAGAUAUAGCAUUUGUGCGUUUGAAUACUACAGCAUGGAAUAACAAAAUUGAACAAGUCAGAAUUUUUUUGUUCUUUUUUCUUAUUUUGGCUUAGUUACGAUUAAUAGGAGUAGCUUGGGGGCAUUUGUAUUCAGAUGUCAGAGGUGAAAUUCUUAGAUUUUCUGGAGACAAACAACUGCGAAAGCAUUUGCCUAAAAUACUUCCAUUAAUCAAGAACGAAAGUUAAGGGAGUGAAGACGAUCAGAUACCGUCGUAAUCUUAACCAUAAACUAUGCCGACUAGGCUUUGGAUGAAAGAUUUUAAAAUAAGAGUUUU
rnacentral:rRNA from 1 species